UCCUUCUUACGAAGGCAGUUUCGCGUGACAAAUAUAACACACGAUGGGGGUUGCGCUCGUUAAUCCACUUAAGGAGACCAUUCACAUGACGAGCUGACGACAGCCGUGCACCACCUGUCCAGCACCCUCGAAGGCGACUCCGUUUCUGGAGCUUGCAGCUGGAUUUCAAGCCUUGGUGAGGUUCCUCGCUUAGAGUCGAAUUGAACCGCAUGAUCCACCGCUUGUGCAAAUUCCCGCCUAUUCCUUUGAGUUUUAAUCUUGCGAUCGUACUUCCCAGGCGGCAGACUUAACGCGUUAGCUACGCCACUGAAAGGGUCGAUGCUCCCAAUGGCUAGUCUGCAUAGUUUAGGGCGUGGACUA
rnacentral:misc_RNA from 1 species